rnacentral:rRNA from 1 species
AUAAACGCUUUCAGUUUUAGAAUGUCAUCCGCGUAUAACGCAAUAAAUACAACUUUCAGCAACGGAUCUCUUGGCUCUCGCAUCGAUGGAGAACGCAGCGAAAUGCGAUAAGUAAUGUGAAUUGCAGAAUUCAGUGAAUCAUCGAAUCUUUGAACGCAUCUUGCGCCCUUUGGUAUUCCGAAGGGCAUGCCUGUUUGAGUGUCGUGGUAUUCUCAAUACCCCAAAUCUUUGCGGAUAAGGGUGUGUUGGACUUGGAGGUUUUUGCAGGUAAUGAUUGUAUUACCAGCUCCUCUUAAAUGCAUUAGCAGAGAUAAUACUGCUACUCUCCAGUGUGAUAAUUGUCUACACUGUUAGUAGUGCGGUAUAACAAAAUGUCUAUGCUUCUAAUCGUCUUCGGACAACUUUUGACAAUCUGACCUCAAAUCAGGUAGGACUACCCGCUGAACUUAAGCAUAUCAAUAAGCGGAGGA